GGGCCCGCACAAGCGGUGGAGCAUGUGGUUUAAUUCGAUGAUACGCGAGGAACCUUACCAGGGCUUAAAUGUAGUCUGACAGGGGUGGAAACACCCCCUCCUUCGGGCAGAUUACAAGGUGCUGCAUGGUUGUCGUCAGCUCGUGCCGUGAGGUGUCAGGUUAAGUCCUAUAACGAGCGCAACCCCUGCCGUUAGUUGCCAGCAUGUAAUGAUGGGAACUCUAACGGGACUGCCGGUGCAAACCGCGAGGAAGGUGGGGAUGACGUCAAAUCAUCACGGCCCUUACGUCCUGGGCUACACACGUGCUACAAUGGCCGGUACAGAGGGCAGCCACACCGCAAGGUGGAGCGAAUCCUUAAACUCUAUCUCAGUUCGGAUCGGAGUCUGCAACUCGACUCCGUG
rnacentral:rRNA from 1 species